UCGGGUGAUGAGGACAGGAGGA
rnacentral:miRNA from 1 species